UUGACGGCCCUGGAGACUGAAUCUUCUGUUUAAACACAGAAUAGAUACAGCAUGGGUAAGCACAGUGUAAUGUGCCCCAGCUCUCACCUGGAGGGGCCAGAGAGGAUACUUCAUAAUUCCACAGUCCAUUCAGUCUUUCGACAGU
rnacentral:sRNA from 1 species